rnacentral:tRNA from 8 species
GCUGGAAUAGCUCAGUUGGUAGAGCAGAGGACUGAAAAUCCUCGUGUCACCAG